UCCAGAUUUGUUGCUACCAGCAGAGCAAAAAUGAACCUCACAUAAACAGCCCAGUACCUGUGGCCUCGUCAAGGACGUUCAGCCACCGGCCUGAAUUUAUUUUAAUUGACUGAUUCACUCAGCGGUAAUGUGCAGCCAGCCAGCGGACGCCUCUCUGUCGUCCCCCCGUCAGCCUCAUCACCCCGGCUGCUGAUAAAAAGAAAGCAAUAAUUUGGCUCAACAUUGAAAGGAUUUUAGCCUUCAAAACCUAACUCCAUUAAAACAAACAGUCCACAGCUUGUUUAGAGAGAAAAUCCUGGAACCCCGCUGGAGGAAACGAAGGCACUCCGUCUUUUAAUGAAGCGAUGUGAUUUAUUACCUGAGAGCAAAGCAGCUAAACAGAGCAACACAUGUCGACUCUCAGUCAAACACCUCAUCAACCUGAAUAAGACAGCAGCCCUGCAAUUUAAGGCUUUGUGCAUAACCACAAGAGGGCGCUAAACCAAUGCACAAUA